UACGAAGGGGGCUAGCGUUGCUCGGAAUCACUGGGCGUAAAGCGCACGUAGGCGGCUUUCUAAGUCAGGGGUGAAAUCCUGGAGCUCAACUCCAGAACUGCCUUUGAUACUGGAGAGCUUGAGUCCGGGAGAGGUGAGUGGAACUCCGAGUGUAGAGGUGAAAUUCGUAGAUAUUCGGAAGAACACCAGUGGCGAAGGCGGCUCACUGGCCCGGUACUGACGCUGAUGUGCGAAAGCGUGGGGAUCAAACAGG
rnacentral:rRNA from 1 species